UGAUUCUCACCUUUUUGUCCCUUUUAUAGCUUUAAGAAAUAGUGGAAAAUAUUCUAGGCUGAAAAAGAGCCGUUAGACCACAUUAAAUGAGCAUUAAAAGUAUUUAAAAUGGGUUAAAAACUAGCCGUUGCAGAAAAAUCUCAUCACAGGGGUCGACUCAUGGGUCGACUCAUGCCUGGGGCUCGACUCAUGGGUCGACCUCUGUGGAAAAACAUCAGAGAAUCGAACGGGAUGCAAGGUUCUGUAAAACUGACUUAAAACCCGCAGAGGUCGACUCAUGGGUCGACUCAUGCCUUGGAGGUCGACUCAUGGGUCGACUCACAGGAUGUGUCAAGUCUGUGCCGGCCAGAAAUUUCAGCGUGCCAGUCAUCUCAUGUGCCAUGAGUCGACUCAUGGGUCGACUCAUGAUUUUCAAACAUGCAUAUCUUUCAAAAUACAAGUCCAAAAUCAAUAAAAUUUUUAUCAGUGGAUCACAAAUCUUUUGUUCUAUCAUUUGAUACU
rnacentral:lncRNA from 1 species